GGGCCUGUAGCUCAGCGGUAGAGCAGUUGCCUCUUAAGCAAUUGGUCGUGGGUUCGAAUCCCACCGGGCCCUCCA
rnacentral:tRNA from 1 species